rnacentral:rRNA from 1 species
GGGGGCAACCCUGAUCCAGCCAUGCCGCGUGCGGGAAGAAGGCCUUCGGGUUGUAAACCGCUUUUGUCCGGGAAGAAAAGACUUCUCCUAAUACGAGGGGUUCUUGACGGUACUGGAAGAAUAAGCACCGGCUAACUACGUGCCAGCAGCCGCGGUAAUACGUAGGGUGCGAGCGUUAAUCGGAAUUACUGGGCGUAAAGCGUGCGCAGGCGGUCCGUUAAGUCUGAUGUGAAAGCCCCGGGCUCAACCUGGGAAUGGCAUUGGAAACUGGCGGGCUUGAGUGUGGCAGAGGGGGGUGGAAUUCCACGUGUAGCAGUGAAAUGCGUAGAGAUGUGGAGGAACACCGAUGGCGAAGGCAGCCCCCUGGGCUAACACUGACGCUCAGGCACGAAAGCGUGGGGAGCAAACAGGAUUAGAUACCCUGGUAGUCCACGCCCUAAACUAUGUCAACUGGGUGUUGGGGAAGCGAUUCCUCAGUACCGUAGCUAACGCGUGAAGUUGACCGCCUGGGGAG